UCAUUCUAUGUUGCGACAUUCUUCCGUAGUCUAUGGCAGUGCUUGAAUUGAUCACUGUCGAAACGAGAUUCGGGAAUCUCAGAGGCCCCGCCUAUAAAGUAUUCUGUAAAUAUUACUGAAACGGCUCAUUCGCGAUGUUUUUAUAAAAUAUAAGUUUUAGAUCCACAAGCAGUACAACAUUGCAAAAAUGGAUGCAAAAGUGUUAUGUAUCUUCGUUUUAAUUUCUCAAGCGGCGGCCCUCCUGACGUCACCACCACGGAUAGUCAAGCAACCGACGGUGGAAGAACUGCUGUUCCAAGUGGCACAACCCGGAGAAGUUGACAAACCCUUUAUAAUAGAAUGUGAAGCUGAAGGAGAGCCGGCGCCUAAGUACAGAUGGAUUAAAAACGGAAAAUCAUUCGAAUAUACGAGUUACGACAAUCGAAUCUCACAGCAACCUGGCCGUGGUACUCUGGUGGUCAGUAGACCAAGAGAUGAAGACCUCGGGCAGUAUCAAUGCUUUGCAUACAACGAGUGGGGAACAGCCACAUCGAACUCCGUAUUUGUACGGAAAGCCGAGCUCAAUUCUUUCAAAGAUACAGAUGGACCGCAGACAAUGAUCACAGCCCAAGAGGGGUUGCCCUUUAAACUGACCUGUAACCCUCCCGAUGGUCACCCCAGCCCAAACGUAUACUGGAUGUUGCAAGGUGAACAAGGUCAGCUCAAAACCAUAAACAACUCCAGAAUGACACUAGAUCCAGAAGGCAAUCUUUGGUUCUCUAACGUCACUCGAUACGAUGCUAGCGUCGAUUACGCGUAUACCUGCGCAGCUAAAUCUGUCUUCAGAAACGAGUACAAACUAGGUAAUAAAGUAUAUCUUCAAGUGCAGCAAACGGGAAUAUCUCCUACCCAGAACAAGCAUGAACCAGUCAGACAGUACACUACCAGGAGAGUUGAAAAGGCAUGGCGAGGCAAAAAAGUUGAACUCUACUGCAUUUAUGGCGGAACGCCACUGCCGCAAGUGGUAUGGAAGAAAGACGGUCGAACAAUACUAUCGUCACAGCGAAUAACGCAAGAUAACUACGGCAAGACAUUAGUGAUAAAACGUGCUGGGUAUGAAGACCAAGGAACCUUCACGUGUGAAAUUAGCAACGGAGUUGGUCAAGCGCAAUCUUACUCUAUACAGCUUAAUGUUGAAGCCGCGCCAUUCUUCAUCGAGGAACCGCAGUUCCAAAACUUGGCCGAAGGUGAGACAGCAGUCAUCCACUGUAAGGCAGGCGGUACCCCAGAGCCUUCGAUCACAUGGGUCCACAACGGAAAGCCUAUAGAGCAAGCGGAGCCCAACUCCAGACGUCAAGUGGCAUCAAAUUCGAUUCUCAUCACGGACUUGGUGAAGAAAGACACAGGCAACUACGGUUGUAACGCCACUAACUCGAACGGCUACGUGUACAAGGAUGUAUACAUUAAUGUUCAAUCCAUACCACCGGAGAUCAAGGAAGGCCCAGAGAACUUGACCAAAGUCGAUGGUUCAGAAGCGGUGCUGAAGUGCCGUGUGUUUGGAGCACCCAAACCCAUUGUCAGGUGGAUGAGAGAUGACGUCGAUGUUACUGGUGGAAAAUACAACAUAACAGCGGAAGGUGAUUUGGUAAUCGCUGACGUAUCGUACACCGAUGUGGGCACCUACCAAUGUUAUGCUAAAAACAAGUUUGGCGAGAAAUCUGCUUUCGGUUCCUUGUCUGUCAAGAAGCACACGGUAAUAACGGACAAACCUGAGCCGUAUGAAGUUGCAGCGGGUGCUUCAGCUACAUUCAGGUGUAAUGCGAAUGCGGACGAUUCCCUAAAACUAGAAAUUAUAUGGCUCAAUGACGGACAGCCAAUUGACUUUGACAACCAGCCGCGGUUUAGAAUGACAAAUGACUACUCGCUGCUAAUAUCCGACACAACGGAGCUCGAUUCCGGCGAAUAUACAUGUAUUGCGAGAACAGCUAUAGAUGAAGCGAGGGCUCAGGCUACUUUAACUGUUCAAGACAAACCCAAUCCACCAUCCUUGGAAGGCAUCGAGUGUCACGAGAAAGUCGCAACCAUACGCUGGCAUUCAAUGGGUGACAAUCGGGCCCCUAUUCUCCGUUACUCGAUACAAUAUAACACCUCCUUUACACCCGAUACAUGGCUUUCGGCGUCCGAUUCUGUUCCCGGGUUAGAUACGUCCUGGACUGCGGAACUGAGCCCCUGGGCGAACUAUACAUUCCGGGUCAUAGCUUUGAAUAAGAUUGGACCGUCUACGCCGUCGAGACACUCGGAUGCCUGUACCACACAGCCGGAUGUACCGUAUAAGAACCCGGAUAAUGUUGAGGGUAAAGGACGGGAUCCUACUAAUAUGGUCAUAUCUUGGUCGAAAAUGCCUCAAAUCGAGCACAACGGCCCCGGUUUCUACUACCAAGUGUCAUGGCGACGUAACAUCAGCGGAACGCCUUGGAGCGAACAGCAAAUACGCGAUUGGACUCAGUCGGAGUAUAUUGUCCUUAACACGCCAACAUUCCAGCCUUAUAAAAUUAAGGUGAUAGCAGUAAAUUCAAAGGGAACAUCAAACGUGGCUCCUGUGGAAGUAAUCGGCUGGUCUGGUGAGGACACGCCCCUACAAUCUCCCGCUAACUUCUCUCUAGUGCAGGUCACUACAGGAACUACUGCAUUGUUAAGCUGGAACCCAGUAUCAGCUGAAACUGUACGCGGACACUUCAAGGGGUACAAGAUUCAGACUUGGGUUGACGGUGAAGAAGACAGGUUAAAGGAAGUGCUCGUGAAGUCCGAUGCGUCCAGUGCUCUUAUAACCGCGUUCAAACCGUUCAAGAAAAACAACGCACGAAUUCUCGUCUACAAUGGACGCUUCAAUGGACCACCUAGCGAAAUCCUCUCCUUCGUUACCCCAGAGGGAAAACCAGGAACAGUCAAAUCCUUCGCAGCCUACCCCAUCGGUUCCUCAGCUAUGCUCCUCAAGUGGGACAAACCCAUGGACGAAAAUGGAAUUUUAACCGGCUACAAAAUUUACUACCAAAAAGUCACCGGCACAGCCCUAGGUCCACUUCAAGAGAGGAAGAAGGAAAUCGACCCCAAACUGGAUCGUGCCAAACUAGCUGGACUAGAACCCAACACCAAGUACCGUAUUGAAAUACGGGCUAAGACCAAGGCUGGGGAAGGAGACAAAUACUACGUGGAACAGACCACAAAAGCGAUGGUGAAUGCCGUUCCGGAUAUACCCUUAUUCGAAGCGAGUACCCUCCCAGCUAAAGAGGGGUCAGCUCAUAUUCUGGUUCGCUGGUUGCCUUCCUUAGACGGUCACGCCGGAAGCCAUUUUAUAGCCUGGUACCGGCUCAAGGGUCAUCCUAAUUGGUUGAGAAGUAAUGAAAUAACUGAAGACGAUUAUGUCGUGCUAACUGGCCUCGAGCCCGGACAAGUGUAUGAGGUGAAAGUGACAGCUCAUGACGGAGAAUACUUCAGCACCAGUGAAGUAAUGGAUGUUGAUACGACAACCGGUAAGUUAUAUCCAGUAAUCAUGCGGGAAGAGGCGAUGGCCACGGCUGGAUGGUUCAUCGGGGUUAUGGUGGCGUUGGCUUUCUUAGUUCUCGUGCUGGUAGCGGUGUGCGUUGCGCGUCGUAACCGAGGCGGGAAGUACGACGUGCACGAUCGCGAACUCGCUCACGGACGGGCGGAUUAUCCAGACGCCGCUUUCCAUGAAUAUAAUCAUCCAUUGGACAGCAAGUCCCGACACUCUAUGAGUAGUGGUCCCAAGCCAGGUGUCGAGAGCGACACUGACUCGAUGGCCGAGUAUGGCGAGGGAGAAACGGCUGGUAUGAACGAAGACGGUUCAUUCAUCGGUCAGUACGGUAGAAAGAGGCGCCCCCCUGCGGCUUCUCACCAAGACUCCGCUUCGCAGGCCUUCGCCACGCUCGUCUAGGCACAUUGUCUAUCCCUUUGACUCCUUUCACUUCACUAUCCCUGUGGCCUGUUUAACCUGUCCCAACUGUUUAACCACUCAUGACAUAACCCAGAUCUGAAUACAAAAUCACAGCAUCUAAUGCAAAUAAUUAAGGCCCAAGGCUUUCCAUUCCAUAUUGGAAUACAAAAAAUAUUGUUCUCUAAAGAUCGCCCGCCGAAAUUCUACUGUCCAUUUCUUUAUUGGUUGUGUAUGAAUCUCGAAUGAUAAUGUAAUAAAAUAUGGUAUGCUAUACCAUAUUUUAUUAAAUUAUCUCACUCGUUAUAGGGCGCAGUCUUUCAACUAUUUAAAAAAUAGUUAUCUAAGACUCAACGCGUCCUUUAUGUUUAGUUUAAUGCUACUUAGAUUAUUAUUAAGUACACAUUUAAAUGUAGUCUGUAAAAAAGAUUUUAAGUAUAUUUUGAGUGAUCAGUGAAUGUUUUUUUUUUUAGUUUUUUUUAUAGCACGAGCUUGUGUUGUUUUUAUCGUUUUGCAUUUAUUGUUAGAAUAGAUAGAUAGACGUGUCCAGUUUUCCGUCCUUUUCCCUUCCUUUCCUCGUCGGCGUAUGAGCAGCUAUUUCAUUUAUUUAUUUUUUGUGAGGUCGUUUCACGGAGGACGGCUCGUUCAUCGGUCAGUACGUGCCUGGCGCACGAGUUCUGCCUCCACCGCCCGCGCCGCAAACAGCUCCAGCGCAACAACCGCCCACUUACGUCUAAUACUGUCAAUUUCACAAAUCACUGUUAUUUUUCACAGUUCCUCAGUAUGGCCUGCUCUUCACACCAUAAUUUUUAACCGGUCAACGUGUAAUCCGUGUUAGCUUCGAAGCGAAAUCACUGAUAUUUUCCUUUGCUUAAAAUCUGCUAUUUAUCACAACAGCGAAAUCGCUGUUAGUAUUAACAAGUCUUGCCUUUCAGAUCUGUAUUACCGUCAAUGCUUGAAACUUUUGAUAAGCUAGUGAAAAUAUCAGUGAUUUUGUAACCAAUGGAAUUAAUAUUGUUCCUAUACUGUCACAAUUUCUUCAUGGUAUUUUUCGUUUAAGGGUCCAAGUAUUACGUAACGCAAUUUUUCGACCCCGUCUCCACCAAUCAACGCGCCGUAACGGUUUUCUAAGCCCAAUAUUAAAACGUUCUGUGACCACCCAGUGACCAUUUUACCUAAGAGUCAUAUCUGGUCAUGUUGCUAAAAUACUUUUGUUAUUGUUUUGAUUGCAUUAAAAACAAUGUACGUAACAUUGUUACAAAUAUUAUUAACACUUAAGGUAACAAGUACACAAAUACACAAAUCAACUCGGAAUGGGAUCGUCACCAUAUCGCCUCGCCGUCAACGUACGCACGUACGCAACGUAUCAGUAGCUCCUGUACGUCAACUCGACUACGGCUAGGCAACACCGCGCUUACGGCUUGCCGACCUGCUUGGCACCAGUUCAGUUUGAUGGCUAUCAUAGCCAUAGACCUUGCUGAAGAGGAUGGGGACAGGGGCAACGGUGGACAAAGAGACAUGAGUUCGGGUACGGAGAGAACUGCAAGUUGACCCGCAUUGCGGUUCGGAGUCUGUUCUAAGGCGGGGCGAUUCCGUUACGAUUCCGAUUAGUUUGCGUUGCAGUAGCGAAUUCUAUAUAGAAAAUACUGAACAAGGUGAUAUGGUGUCAAACCAAUCGCGUAAUUUAAUUUCCGUAUCGCAUGACGAGACCCAAAAUUCGUAACGUAAUACUUGAACGCUCCCUAAUAAUAUAUUUAAAAUUGUGUAGCUAAUUUUACUUAAAUUGACAUUUUAGUUGAAAUUUAUUGAUAUGGGCCUUAUUAGUAGGCUCUGUUUACCGCAGGUACAAUAGUGAAAAUUAGAAACCAACAUAGAUUUGUUUUAUGAGACUGAUUUUAAGUAAAAAAAAAUUGUUUCCUCUUUUGAGUCCCUGGCAUUUCAUACGAUUUAAUAUGUAGGUUAAGAUCUGGCUCGAUAUCAAUUAAAUAGGAUGGUAAAGCGAGAAAUAAAGUAUCCGGUAGCGAAGCGAAGGUUAAACAAAGGUUUAAAAUAUAUCAAUGAUUUUAAGUGACUACAAUAUCAUCCACAUAGUAAAAAAUUUAAAUCGCCGUCGCUUCGCUACAGGCUGAUAAAGCUAUUUUUGUGACAUGAUAAAGAAUGUAAAUUUUUAGCUCUGAGUGCCGGCGGUCAGACUUGCUUCAUGACGUCAGAGUCAAUUUAUCGUAAAAUCAACGAAUUAUUUUUAUAUGAAAAUCAUAUCGGAAGGACCAUUACGCAGAUUAUUUUGUAUCCCGCUUUUAAAUUAUAUUCUAUACUCCAAUAUGCGUAGCAAAGUUAUAUCUAAAGAUUAAACAUAAUUAAAAAUAGUGCCAUCUAGCUGUGAAAUAAAACUGAAUGUGAAUUUAUUCACAACGUGGUGUGUGGAGUCUUUUUACACCAAAGGGAAAUUACGGAAAUUUUUGCUCAUUUUUUUAAACAAUAGCGCAAUCGUUUUAAAACAUAUGCAAUAUAACUUAUGUUAUGAUAUCAAGUUAUGAUAUCAUCCUAUUUGUUGGAAUUUUUAAUCGAAAAUUUAUUAAAAGAAGAUUUUAAGCUUAAUGAGGGUAAAACACUUUUGAAUAAAGAAUAAAAAUUACCUUAUUUU